AGUGGGAUAGCUGGGUCAAAUGUGGUUCUAUUGCAAGUUUAUAAAGAAUCUCCAUAGUGCUUUCCAGAUUGGUUGCACCAAUUUGCAGUCCCACCAGCAAU
rnacentral:pre_miRNA from 1 species